GACGGAGGGGGCUAGCAUUGUUCGGAAUUACUGGGCGUAAAGAGCGCGUAGGCGGUUUAGUAAGUUGGAAGUGAAAGCCCGGGGCUUAACCUCGGAAUUGCUUUCAAAACUGCUAGGCUAGAGUGUAGUAGGGGAUGAUGGAAUUCCUAGUGUAGAGGUGAAAUUCUUAGAUAUUAGGAGGAACACCGGUGGCGAAGGCGGUCAUCUGGGCUACAACUGACGCUGAGGCGCGAAAGCGUGGGGAGCAAACAGG
rnacentral:rRNA from 1 species